AGCGAACGCUGGCGGCAGGCCUAACACAUGCAAGUCGAACGGAUCCUUCGGGAUUAGUGGCGGACGGGUGAGUAACACGUGGGUACGUGCCCUUUGGUUCGGAACAACUCAGGGAAACUUGAGCUAAUACCGGAUGUGCCCUUCGGGGGAAAGAUUUAUCGCCAUUGGAGCGGCCCGCGUCUGAUUAGCUAGUUGGUGAGGUAACGGCCCACCAAGGCGACGAUCAGUAGCUGGUCUGAGAGGAUGAUCAGCCACACUGGGACUGAGACACGGCCCAGACUCCUACGGGAGGCAGCAGUGGGGAAUCUUGCGCAAUGGGCGAAAGCCUGACGCAGCCAUGCCGCGUGAAUGAUGAAGGUCUUAGGAUUGUAAAAUUCUUUCAGCGGGGACGAUAAUGACGGUACCCGCAGAAGAAGCUCCGGCUAACUUCGUG
rnacentral:rRNA from 1 species